CUAUAUACCGUUUUGUUUUACCUGUGUUGAGAAUUCAUGGAGUAGAACAGUAUAAUCAAAAUCAAUUGCAUCUUCAUUUGUUUUCUAGAAGAAGAAAGAAAGAGUUAGUGCGAUAGAUAGUGUGGGUUUAUAUUAGCUUAGAAUUUGGAAGGCUCAUCUUGUAUCACCUGCCUUGAAUGGGUGGAUGGGUGCCUUGAAUCACCUGCCGCCUCUUUGAUUCUAGCCUCAUCUCCUUUGGUGGUAUCCUGCAUUAAGAUGUGGAAGUUGUUGAUUCUUACUGUUUUGCCACUGUCAUGAUAAUCUAGUAAGGUCCUUCUGUCACUUUUUCUCUCUAAUGUUUAUGGGUUUUGAUGGAAAUUAAGGUCUAUGAGAAUAGGGAGAAUCUUUUGACAAGCUAAGGAAUCUAGAUACUGUAUAUGCACCUCAAGCUGAUUUAUAGCCCUGAUAUGCCAGGCAGUAAGACAAGGGGCAGGGCAAUCAGGAUUUCUAGAAGGACACCAUGGGCCAGGUUCUCUGCUAGGCACUUUAUACAUGUUCUUAUGGAAUUCUGUCUUUUACAGGGAAGGCAACUUGAGGUUACAACUAGUAGGUGACAAGUGGGGAUUCAAACCCAGAUCUACUGACUCCACCACCCACAUCCUUCAUGCGGUACCACACUGCUUCUAAAACCAGCACAUUUUAUAGGAUUUAAUCCAAGUUGUCAGAGAACUAGAAUGCGAAUGAGCCAAGCUUCUGAAUUCGAGAAACGCCAAGGUGCAGUAUCCCACCUCCGGGUUUUUCAGAACACUUAGUCUCAGUAAUGGAUGGGACACAGAUGCAGCCAGAAAUGGAGACCACGGGUCCUCCAUGCUGACGCGGGCCUGUCACAGUCUCCGGGCAAAUGAGUGAACUGAGAGAGAGACAGUGGGGCAGGAAGCGCUGUGGUGGUCAGAUGUCAAGCUUAAUACCCCAGUGCAAGUCCAGAGAUGACUUCUGUGGUUUUGGAGAUUGGAUUUGCCGGUAAGUGCCGAGUGUCAGCUGCUGUCCACAGACCCUGCUGAGUGCCAGCGCAAAUGGGCUCUGCUUCACUUCAGCUGAGUCACUUCAGAGGCAGGGCUCAUUUCUUAUAAGAGAUGGCACCACCGCCCAUUAGCUCUGGACCUAAAAUGAGAUCAGCUUGACUCCCCUGCAGCCUCCCAGCAAGGCCCCGAGACAGCUCGCCCGGCCCUGGUGCAGAAGGCCAUGAUGCACACGACAGAGGCCCUGGAUGGGGUCCCGUCACCUAAAGUUUCCAAAGCCACCACCAGAAACCUCUAGAAUUUUUCUCCUCAGCUUCUGGACUCAACCCUGAGAACUGCACCCCUACGUGUGGGUCCUGUUGCAACGACCUCCACCUCUUCUCCCUGGAGUCCGGCUCUUGCCCUGCCCUGCGUCUGGGAUGAGAAGUGGGCAGAUUAAAGGGGCACAGAUAGUUUUCAGUGGAGUCACUAUAUUGUACUCGAGGGGGAAAACAGGAAAAGGAUACUUGUGAAUUUUGUUCAGAUAAUCAGGUGUACCACAUUCUGUAGUUGAAUUAAAUUGCCAUUUGGGGGAUACA